CGCCCCCUGAAAAAUAAGCAUAGGGGGUCCUGCCUGCCCAGUGACUGAAAAGUUAAACGGCCGCGGUAUCUUGACCGUGCGAAGGUAGCAUAAUCAUUUGUCUCCUAAAUAGAGACUGGUAUGAAUGGCAAGACGGAGCUUCACUGUCUCCUCCUCUUUGAUCUGAACUUCACAUUCCCGUGAAGAGGCGAGAAUUAGUUCGUAAGACGAGAAGACCCUGUCGAGCUGUAGCUAAAUUUUAAUUGUUGUUUACUAUUAGCCCUAACUAAUUAUAAUAAGAGUAGCAGGCCUAAAGCAUGACAAAUUAAAACAAGCUUUGAUUGGGGCAAUCCCGGAGAAAGAAAAUCCUCCGCUACUAUAUGGUUAUAUUAACCUAAAAUAAAAGAAUUAUUUUUCUUAAAUCAUAAAAAUGAAGGUAUGAUCCACUUACAGUGAUCAAAAGAACAAGUUACCGCAGGGAUAACAGCGUUAUCUUUUCUGAGAGUUCAUAUUGACGAAAAGGUUUGCGACCUCGAUG
rnacentral:rRNA from 1 species